GGAUGCCAGCUCUCUGACCCCAGGAGGUUGGAUUGGGCUGGAGAGUGUUCACUCCAGCCUCCUGGCCUUUGCUCAAGCUGUCCUUUGCCUGGGAUACCCAAUUCCUGUUCUCAAGCACAUUUGUCUUGAAGAAAAAUGAUGUGCCGAACUGCGCAGAUGGAAAUUUCGAGCAAUGAGAAAGAUUAAAGUGAAACCCCACUCCUUAGACCUAAUCAUGAGUUGUAGAUUAUUCUGUCGGCCCAGCCAGAUGGUAGCUCUGAUUCCACAGCCCCUUCUUAUAUUAAUGAAUACUCGACUGUUAUAUUUGACUUAGGCUUCUCAUCUGUAACUGGUGAAGCCCGGAAGAGCUUGUUGUUCAAGAGGAAAUCUUGUGUUACUUCUUUAUGAAGGACUCCAGCCUGGUGGAGAUGAAUGAGUCCUGAAGAUGGAAUCGAAGCUGUUUGGGCACAAACAAGGUUUCACUCUUGUUGCCCAGGCUGGAGUGCAAUGGUGUGAUCUAGGCUCACUGCAACCUCCACCUCCCGGGUUCAAGUGAUUCUCCUGUCUCAGGCUCCCAAGUAGGUGGGAUUACAGUACUUUAAUCAGCAUUUAAUGACCCAGUCGAAAAUUCAUUGUUUGGACCCAAGCACUGGUGGGAAAGGCAGGAGGGGAGGCCUGCCUUCCUUCCUCCCUCCCGAGCCCUACAGCAGGCCAUGGAGUGGUGAGCGAGUUCGUACAGUGCCAACCACAUUCCCAGAAACUUCCAGCAGAGGUUAAUCCUGCUCCUCUCAGGUGGGCUUGGCCCAUUCUCUAGACUUUGGAAGGUAAUGUUCUAUAGAGGCCUGUUCUGAAGCUUUACCAGGUCAAACCGGAGAAGAACCCAACAAGUAACUCAUCCCAGCCUAACUAUUCUUCAAGGGCAAUCAACCUACAGCAUCCAAGCACAGAGAAAUCAAAUCCAUGGAGAAUCUUCAAAUUAGGCUCAGAAUCCAUUUGGGUCAAUGAAUUUACUGUUAUUAAGAUCUUAGUUGUGUUCAACCAUGAUUUGACAUACCUUAGAGUGAGAAGAUAUUCUUCCUGGCCUCAGACUAGUUGAAGGUAGAGAGAGAGACAGGCCCUUGGGUGUGGGGAGACCUCUCCUGGGAUAAUACACACAAAAAACCAAGAGCUGCUCACUGUGGUGCAGGAGACAGCAGGGCCUGAAGCCAGAGGCUCUGUGUCCUUGAAUACAAUGUUUUACUCCUCUGACCCCUGUUACUGUGAUUUGGAGAGGCAGACAAUAUAGGAUGGGCUUUGCAGGCAGGGAGGUCCAGUUAUAAUCCCAGCUCUUACUAAGUUGGGUAAGACUCACUCUGAGACUUAGUUUCUUCUGUCAUCUCUCAAUAGAAUCAUAAAGGUACUUUCCUCUUAGUGUUGUUUUAAAAUUCAGUAAAAUAAUGCAGGCUUAGCACAGGGUCUGAUGUAAAUUUUCAAUGAAUUAUCGUUGUCAAUAUUGUUCUGGAAAACAAGAGGGCAUAUUAGAAGAUCAAAAGUACUGCCAAGCAUUGAAGUGCCAAUUCUAGAUCCAGUCUCAGCCCUCUGAGAAUGGAUAUCAUUGUUUUCAAGCCAUUCAGAAACCAAUGUGAAUUGAACACCUAGUAUGAGCUCUCUGAGGGAAGAGCCAAGUCAUGCAUUUUUUAUCUUAAGGGGUCUUCAAUACCUCUAGCCCAAAACAGUAUCUCCAUCAGGAUUCUUCUCUGAUAGUGUUCAUUUCUUUUUUCUCAAUGGAUGCCUUAAAAAAAAAAUCCUACAAGGAAACCUGUACUCCUCAAAUACACCACUCAGGUGACCAUUAAAUCAUUUACAUUGUUAAUUUCUUUUCAGAU
rnacentral:lncRNA from 1 species